rnacentral:rRNA from 1 species
UAGUACGGCGAGUGAAGAGGAAGAGCUCAAAGUUGGAACCUGUUUGGCCUAGCUAAACCGGAUUGUAGACUGUAGAAGUGUUUUCCAGGCAAGCCGAGUAAAUAAGUCCUUUGGAACAGGGCAUCAUAGAGGGUGAGAAUCCCGUCUUUGGCUUGAGCAUUUGCCUUUUGUGAUACGCUUUCAAAGAGUCAGGUUGUUUGGGAAUGCAGCCUAAAUUGGGUGGUAAAUCUCACCUAAAGCUAAAUAUUGGCGAGAAACCGAUAGCGAACAAGUACCGUGAGGGAAAGAUGAAAAGAACUUUGAAAAGAGAGUUAAACAGUAUGUGAAAUUGUUAAAAGGGAACCGUUUGGAGCCAGACUGGCUUGUCUGUAAUCAAUCUAGGCUUCGGCCUGGAUGGACUUGGAGGCUAUGCCUGCCAACGACAAUUUGACUUGAGGGAAAAAACUAAGGGAAAUGUGGGGCCA